rnacentral:rRNA from 1 species
AGAGUUUGAUCCUGGCUCAGAACGAACGCUGGCGGCAGGCUUAACACAUGCAAGUCGAGCGCUCGCAGCAAUGCGGGAGCGGCAGACGGGUGAGUAACGCGUGGGAACGUACCCUCCGGUUCGGAAUAACUCAGGGAAACUUGAGCUAAUGCCGGAUACGGCUGAGAGGCGAAAGAUUUAUCGCCGGGGGAUCGGCCCGCGUCCGAUUAGCUAGUUGGUGGGGUAACAGCUCACCAAGGCGACGAUCGGUAGCUGGUCUGAGAGGAUGAUCAGCCACAUUGGGACUGAGACACGGCCCAAACUCCUACGGGAGGCAGUAGUGGGGAAUAUUGGACAAUGGGCGCAAGCCUGAUCCAGCCAUGCCGCGUGAGUGAUGACGGCCCUAGGGUUGUAAAGCUCUUUCACCCACGACGAUAAUGACGGUAGUGGGAGAAGAAGCCCCGGCUAACUUCGUGCCAGCAGCCGCGGUAAUACGAAGGGGGCUAGCGUUGUUCGGAUUUACUGGGCGUAAAGCGCGCGUAGGCGGAUCUUUAAGUCAGGGGUGAAAUGCCGGAGCUCAACUUCGGAACUGCCUUUGAUACUGGAGAUCUUGAGUUCGGGAGAGGUGAGUGGAACUGCGAGUGUAGAGGUGAAAUUCGUAGAUAUUCGCAAGAACACCAGUGGCGAAGGCGGCUCACUGGCCCGAUACUGACGCUGAGGCGCGAAAGCGUGGGGAGCAAACAGGAUUAGAUACCCUGGUAGUCCACGCCGUAAACGAUGGAUGCUAGCCGUUAGGCAGCUUGCUGCUUAGUGGCGCAGCUAACGCUUUAAGCAUCCCGC